rnacentral:rRNA from 1 species
UCAUUAGCGAGUUUUCAACUCCCAACCCUUGCAAACCGUACCCCGUUCCGUUCUCGUUGCUUCUGGCGGGAGGCGG